rnacentral:precursor_RNA from 2 species
GCUACCAUGUAAACAUGGAAAUCAUGCAACCAUCAGAAUAAAAGAACCUAUCAGAAGCACAUAUCAAAUCAUGCAACCAUCAGAACAAAAGAUUUUUACAGUUCUAUCACCAUAGUCAUGUCAUUAAAAAGAGACAUAUCCUACAUAAACAUAUAUAUCAAGCCUAAACAAGUAGUAAACAUGUUUACACCCCAUGAGCAGCCAAGAAGCAAGAAGCAAUAGCCAGUACUACUGCCUCAAGCCCUUGAACACAAAAAGGCGAGAACUGGAUGCAGAGGUUUAUCGAUCGAUUCCCGCGUUGUCGUUGGCUGCAACAAGGACCAAAAGGAAGAAAAAAAAAGAACACCCUCUCAAAGAAAUUCGCCGCUCCUGGAUCAGCGCCACAAGGCAGGGAAGGGAUCGAUAAACCACUGCGCCCAGGCAUCACCACCAACCCCCACCCCCACCUGCGAACAUGAUGGAUUAGCGCAAGAAACCGGAACAAAACAAGAACGGAACACAGAGCCACCUGCAAGAUCGGGCACGAACGAACACUCGUGGGUGUGAAUCUGUGUUUCUCGUGUGUGCAAUGAGGAAGG